UGGGGGAAUUUUGGACAAUGGGCGAAAGCCUGAUCCAGCAAUGCCGCGUGUGUGAAGAAGGCCUUCGGGUUGUAAAGCACUUUUGUCCGGAAAGAAAUCCUUGGCUCUAAUACAGUCGGGGGAUGACGGUACCGGAAGAAUAAGCACCGGCUAACUACGUGCCAGCAGCCGCGGUAAUACGUAGGGUGCAAGCGUUAAUCGGAAUUACUGGGCGUAAGCGUGCGCAGGCGGUUUGCUAAGACCGAUGUGAAAUCCCGGGCUCAACCUGGGAACUGCAUUGGUGACUGGCAGGCUAGAGUAUGGCAGAGGGGGGUUAGAAUUCCACGUGUAGCAGUGAAAUGCGUAGAGAUGUGGAGGAAUACCGAUGGCGAAGGCAGCCCCCUGGGCCAAUACUGACGCUCAUGCACGAAAGCGUGGGGAGCAAACAGGAUUAGAUACCCUGGUAGUCCACGCCCUAAACGAUGUCAACUAGUUGUUGGGGAUUCAUUUCCUUAGUAACGUAGCUAACGCGUGAAGUUGACCGCCUGGGGAGUACGGUCGCAAGAUUAAAACUCAAAUGAAUUGACGGGG
rnacentral:rRNA from 1 species